CCUACACCCUUCAACCCUUCGAAGCUCUCACUCCGGAGGGUAAACCCUUUGAAGGGAUUAGGGCAUAGGGAUGAGCCCUUCUGAAUGGAAUGCAGGUCUUCCAGACUAUUGCAUCCACACCUUGAGCGAGACCAAGAAACGUCAUCCAGCCAAGUGGGUUGAAAACAAACUAUCUACAGCUUCAGACGCCCCUCCUUUGCCGUUGAGUUGCACCUGGACUAUGGCUGCUGGAUAAGCCCGACUCAGCAAUCCAGAGUAGCUAAGUGGAAAGCUAAGCUAAGCCGACAAGUUUGACACAUGGCUGACUCUCCAUAGUAAUCCACUGGACGUCCGUUUUAACAUGAUGGGGCAGUCGUGUAUGGGUUUACUGGGACUUAUUGAUUUUAAACAUGCCCCAUUUAAGAUGGACUGCCAAUACAAACCAAACACUCCAGCCAAGAAAGGAGUGCUGUUUAACAUUCAGCCCACGAGUGCAUGUAUAAUUAACUCCUGGGUAAAAAUGCCCUCAGGAGAGUAGCUGUGGAGUCUCGACACAAGGCUUCACUCAUCUCAGAGUGUGUGUGUGCGUCCGUGCGAAUGUAUGGAGACUUUACAGAAUACCACGCUAGUGUAAGUGAAUUAACGUAAAUGAAUUAGCCAAUUAAACGCAAUAACAUGGCCCAACAGGGAGUUUCAUAUUGCAGACCAGCAGCAUUAGACAACCUUAUGAAAAUGAGCAAACCACAUUUCCCCUGCAGUUAGGAUCAUUAAAUCCAAGAUUGUAAAAUCUGUUUUGCAUGACUUUCGUCAAG
ensembl:lncRNA